rnacentral:rRNA from 1 species
UACGGGGGGAGCAAGCGUUGUUCGGAUUUACUGGGCGUAAAGGGCGCGUAGGCGGCCAGCACACGUCAGUUGUGAAAUCUCCGAGCUUAACUCGGAAAGGUCAACUGAUACUGUGCGGCUAGAGUGCGGAAGGGGCAACUGGAAUUCUUGGUGUAGCGGUGAAAUGCGUAGAUAUCAAGAGGAACACCUGAGGCGAAGGCGGGUUGCUAGGCUGACACUGACGCUGAGUGCGCGAAAGCCAGGGGAGCAAACGGG